rfam:Triticum aestivum genome assembly, contig: Triticum_aestivum_CS42_TGACv1_scaffold_062731_1DL
CAGCUGGAUGAGGAGGAUAUCAUCAUCUACCUCCUCACCGGCCUCGACUCCAGCUAUGAUCCUCUUGUGACCUCUGUCACCACUCGAGCAGAAGCGAUCUCUCUCAACGACCUCUACUCGCACCUGCUGGACUUCGAGA